rnacentral:rRNA from 1 species
AUUGAACGCUGGCGGCAUGCCUUACACAUGCAAGUCGAACGGUAACAGGUCUUCGGAUGCUGACGAGUGGCGAACGGGUGAGUAAUACAUCGGAACGUGCCCGAUCGUGGGGGAUAACGCAGCGAAAGCUGUGCUAAUACCGCAUACGAUCUACGGAUGAAAGCGGGGGAUCGCAAGACCUCGCGCGGACGGAGCGGCCGAUGGCAGAUUAGGUAGUUGGUGGGAUAAAAGCUUACCAAGCCGACGAUCUGUAGCUGGUCUGAGAGGACGACCAGCCACACUGGGACUGAGACACGGCCCAGACUCCUACGGGAGGCAGCAGUGGGGAAUUUUGGACAAUGGGCGAAAGCCUGAUCCAGCCAUGCCGCGUGCAGGAUGAAGGCCUUCGGUUGUAAACUGCUUUGUACGGAACGAAAAGUACUUCUCUAAUACGAGGGGCGAAGUGACGGUACCGUAAGAAUAAGACACCGG